CGCUGGGCUAGCAGUAGGGGGAGGGAGGAUUCAGGCCAGAUUCUCGCCUGCCCCACACGGGGACACUCGAGCAAGGGAGCUGACGGGUGUGCUCCUGACACAACGUGAGAUACCCGAAGCACAGGUGCACGGAUGACAAAUGACAUGGGAAACCAUCAGGACUUGAUUGCUUUUCCAAAACAGCCUCUUCAAUCACCGCCUCUUCAAAUGAACUAAACUGGCCUAUCGUCAGGACCAAGACCUGCUCAAGGAGACCAACUAUUUGCCAGCUCAACUUGUAACGUGUGGAAGUUUCAGGAAAGUUCCAGACGGAGGAGUUGAAGGGGUGCAGGAUGAGACACCCCAAAAUGUGCCACUUUGGCAUAAAGAUUAUUCCAAGUUAAAAUUAAUAAAAACCCAGCAGAUGCAGAAAAAGCACUUUGCCUCCCCCAUAACCGUGUAAAUUCACAUUGGAAAGGAAAACCUUCACUGGGCAGAGUAUUAACAGCCCCCCUCCCAACCUUUACCAAUGGAGCUCAUGUGCCCAAAAGAGCCAUCUAGUUUUUCCAGACAUCUCCUUUCACCUUCCUGCUGUUGACUUUUCUCCCCUUUGUGUCCUCAGACCCCUACCUCUUUCCUGAGCUCAUAUAAGCUUCAUGUGGCCUCCCUGUCUUCAGAAUUCCCUAUCUGUGUGGAGUCCCCAUAAGUAUACCUAUUAAAUUUGAUUUUGUCUUGUUU